rnacentral:rRNA from 1 species
AACAACUCACCUGCCGAAUGAAUUAGCCCUGAAAAUGGAUGACGCUUAAGCGGAUAGCCGACACCACGUCGUCUGAUCAAAGUGGUAACCAGAUGAGUAGGAGGGCGUGGCGGUCGUAUGGAAGCGUCGGUGCGAACCGGCGUGAAACGGCCGCUAGUGCAGAUCUUGGUGGUAGUAGCAAAUAUUCAAGUGAGAUCCUUGAAGGACGAAGCGGGGAAGGGUUCCACGCGAACAUUGAUUGAGCGUGGGUGAGUCGUUCCUAAGCCGAGUGGUCAUAGCUAAUUACCGGCGAAAGGGAAGCAGGUUGACAUUCCUGCACACGGAUGUGGAGGCGGUGACGCCGUAUUGAGGUGAUGACGUUGGCAGUGGCUCUGGGCAGAGUUUUCUUUUCUGUUUGACCGUCAAUGCGCGCUGUGUGGAAUCCGCUUGUCGGGAGAAACACGCGUGCACGGGCAGAGCGCCGGGGCUUUUCCGGCGUCCAGAUCGCCACUGACGACCCUUGAAAAAUCACCCGCUGAUUUAUACAAUCCACGCCGUGGCGUACCGAUCACCGCAUCAGGUCCCCAAGGUGAACAGCCUCUGUUCAAUAUGAAAAAU